UCUUGGCCGGUGUGGAAGACUAGUGAUUUUGUUGUUGUAAAUAUGUGCUCUGACAACAAGUCACAGUCUACCUCACUGAGUAAGGUCCAGU
ensembl:miRNA